GGAUGCGAUCAUACCAGCACUAAAGCACCAGAUCCCAUCAGAACUCCGUAGUUAAGCGUGCUUGGGCGAGAGUAGUACUAGGAUGGGUGACCUCCUGGGAAGUCCUCGUGUUGCAUUCC
rnacentral:rRNA from 1 species